CGUUCCCGGGCCUUGUACACACCGCCCGUCACACCACGAAAGUUGGUAACACCCGAAGCCGGUGGCCCAACCCUUUUGGGAGGGAGCUGUCGAAGGUGGGAUCAGCGAUUGGGGUG
rnacentral:rRNA from 1 species